rnacentral:tRNA from 1 species
UAGAGCGCAUGCUUUGCAUGUAUGAGGUCCCGGGUUCAAUCCCCGGCGUCUCCA